rnacentral:rRNA from 1 species
GACGAACGCUGGCGGCGUGCUUAACACAUGCAAGUCGAACGGAAAGGCCCUGCUUUUGUGGGGUGCUCGAGUGGCGAACGGGUGAGUAACACGUGAGUAACCUGCCCUUGACUUUGGGAUAACUUCAGGAAACUGGGGCUAAUACCGGAUAGGAGCUCCUGCUGCAUGGUGGGGGUUGGAAAGUUUCGGCGGUUGGGGAUGGACUCGCGGCUUAUCAGCUUGUUGGUGGGGUAGUGGCUUACCAAGGCUUUGACGGGUAGCCGGCCUGAGAGGGUGACCGGCCACAUUGGGACUGAGAUACGGCCCAGGCUCCUACGGGAGGCAGCAGUGGGGAAUAUUGCACAAUGGGCGGAAGCCUGAUGCAGCAACGCCGCGUGCGGGAUGACGGCCUUCGGGUUGUAAACCGCUUUCGCCUGUGACGAAGCGUGAGUGACGGUAAUGGGUAAAGAAGCACCGGCUAACUACGUGCCAGCAGCCGCGGUGAUACGUAGGGUGCGAGCGUUGUCCGGAUUUAUUGGGCGUAAAGGGCUUGUAGGUGGUUGAUCGCGUCGGAAGUGUAAUCUUGGGGCUUAACCCUGAGCGUGCUUUCGAUACGGGUUGACUUGAGGAAGGUAGGGGAGAAUGGAAUUCCUGGUGGAGCGGUGGAAUGCGCAGAUAUCAGGAGGAACACCAGUGGCGAAGGCGGUUCUCUGGGCCUUUCCUGACGCUGAGGAGCGAAAGCGUGGGGAGCGAACAGGCUUAGAUACCCUGGUAGUCCACGCUGUAAACGGUGGGUACUAGGUGUGGGGUCCAUUCCACGGGUUCCGUGCCGUAGCUAACGCUUUAAGUACCCCGCCUGGGGAGUACGGCCGCAAGGCUAAAACUCAAAGGAAUUGACGGGGCCCCGCACAAGCGGCGGAGCAUGCGGAUUAAUUCGAUGCAACGCGUAGAACCUUACCUGGGUUUGACAUGGAUCGGGAGCGCUCAGAGAUGGGUGUGCCUCUUUUGGGGUCGGUUCACAGGUGGUGCAUGGCUGUCGUCAGCUCGUGUCGUGAGAUGUUGGGUUAAGUCCCGCAACGAGCGCAACCCUUGUUCACUGUUGCCAGCACGUUAUGGUGGGGACUCAGUGGAGACCGCCGGGGUCAACUCGGAGGAAGGUGGGGAUGACGUCAAGUCAUCAUGCCCCUUAUGUCCAGGGCUUCACGCAUGCUACAAUGGCUGGUACAGAGAGUGGCGAGCCUGUGAGGGUGAGCGAAUCUCGGAAAGCCGGUCUCAGUUCGGAUUGGGGUCUGCAACUCGACCUCAUGAAGUCGGAGUCGCUAGUAAUCGCAGAUCAGCAACGCUGCGGUGAAUACGUUCCCGGG